AGAUUGAACGCUGGCGGCAUGCCUUACACAUGCAAGUCGAACGGCAGCACGGGAGCAAUCCUGGUGGCGAGUGGCGAACGGGUGAGUAAUACAUCGGAACGUGCCCAGUUGUGGGGGAUAGCCCGGCGAAAGCCGGAUUAAUACCGCAUACGACCUACGGGUGAAAGCGGGGGAUCGCAAGACCUCGCGCUAUUGGAGCGGCCGAUGUCGGAUUAGCUUGUUGGUAGGGUAAAGCCUACCAAGGCUACGAUCCGUAGCUGGUCUGAGAGGACGACCAGCCACACUGGGACUGAGACAUGGCCCAGACUCCUACGGGAGGCAGCAGUGGGGAAUUUUGGACAAUGGGCGCAAGCCUGAUCCAGCAAUGCCGCGUGCAGGAAGAAGGCCUUCGGUUGUAAACUGCUUUGUACGGAACGAAACGGUCCUGGUUAAUACCGUGGGUCUAAGUGACGGUACCGUAAGAAUAAGCACCGGCUAACUACGUGACCAGCACGCCGACGGUAACUC
rnacentral:rRNA from 1 species